AGAGUUUGAUCAUGGCUCAGAACGAACGCUGGCGGCAUGCCUAACACAUGCAAGUCGAACGCCUGUAGCAAUACAGGAGUGGCAGACGGGUGAGUAACACGUAGGAAUCUACCCAGUAGCUCGGAAUAACCGCGGGAAACUGCGGCUAAUACCGGAUACGCCCCACGGGGGAAAGGAGCAAUCCACUAUUGGAGGAGCCUGCGUCCGAUUAGCUAGUUGGCGGGGUAACGGCCCACCAAGGCGACGAUCGGUAGCUGGUUUGAGAGAACGACCAGCCACACUGGGACUGAGACACGGCCCAGACUCCUACGGGAGGCAGCAGUGGGGAAUAUUGGACAAUGGGGGAAACCCUGAUCCAGCAAUGCCGCGUGGGUGAUGAAGGCCUUCGGGUUGUAAAGCCCUUUUGGCGGGGACGAUGAUGACGGUACCCGCAGAAGAAGCCCCGGCUAACUUCGUGCCAGCAGCCGCGGUAAUACGAAGGGGGCUAGCGUUGUUCGGAAUUACUGGGCGUAAAGGGCGCGUAGGCGGCUUCGAUAGUCGGGUGUGAAAUGCCUGGGCUCAACCCAGGAACUGCACUCGAAACUCCGAGGCUAGAGUGUGGGAGAGGAUAGUGGAAUUCCCAGUGUAGAGGUGAAAUUCGUAGAUAUUGGGAAGAACACCGGUGGCGAAGGCGGCUAUCUGGACCACAACUGACGCUGAGGCGCGAAAGCGUGGGGAGCAAACAGGAUUAGAUACCCUAGUAGUCC
rnacentral:rRNA from 1 species